ACGGCGACCGGUCACCAGUAUUCCUCCUGUUCCUACGAACACCCGGACUUGACCCAGAACCAUAACCCGAAGCUGGAGACUGAUCCGUACUCCGCGCUGCCGUCUGCAUCACCGCCGGAGGGAAACGCCGACGCCGUGACCCGGACAACGUGGAUCGGGUCGGAGCCUCAAUUUCUUCAACAAAUCCCGUGUUACAAUCAGGACAAGUAAUCGAUUCCUCGCUCCAUACUCUGUAAAACCUAUUGCAUCUAUAACACCAAUACGUUGACGACAUCGAGAAAAAAAAACUGAACUUGAAAUCCAAAAGUCAAUCAAUACAAAAUUCCCACAACGCCAGAAACGAAUUCUUCAAAACCCACUUUCAGAUCCAAAAAUUUCACCAAAUCAACAACUCCCACAACCCCAAAAACAGAUUCUUCACAACCCAGUUACAGAUCCGAAGAUUUCAACAAAUUAACCUCAAAAAAGAGAACUUUAGAUCAAAAUCCACCAAGACAAAGGCAAAAACUUUGACUUAGAAAUGAAAUUGUUGAGCAAAAUUUGAAAAUGAGGGAAUAUUUUAGGAUAGGGAGAGAGAGAGAGAGUGGGG
rnacentral:misc_RNA from 1 species